GGGGCGGCUCCAUCCACCGGGGGCGGCUCCAUCCACCGGGGGCGGCUCCAUCCACCGGGGGCGGCUCCAUCCUCCCGGGGCGGCUCCAUCCUCCAGGGUCGGUCCCCUCAGACCUGAGGGUGUUCCAGGCCUCUGCUCCAGCUCUGGAGCUCCUGACACUUGGGAAUUGUGGUGCUGCUUAUGUUGGUUUUUUCUUUAUUUUUAGGGUUUAUUCUUGUUUUGGUUUGGGGGUUUUUUUUGUUGUUUUGGAAAUUAAGAAAGAAGGUGAUGGGGUGUGGGAGGUGGUGUGGGAUGAGGGGCGGCUGGUGCUUCACCCCAUCCCUGGUUUCUCUCUGGGAUGGAGAAUCAGUGGGAUCAGGAAUGGAGAAACCCUGCCUGGGGUGGCCCAGAGCAGUGUCCCUGUCCUGGCUGGGGGCAGAGCAGGGAUUGCUGCUUGGUUUAAAUCUGCUUUAAACGGUUCUGAUGGAGCCUGGCUUGUCCUGAGCUGGAUGUUCAGGGGAGGGGCUGGAUCCAUGGGCAUGGCGAUGGGGAUGGGGAUGGCUCCCACUUUUCAGUGUCCAGGUGAGGGGAGAGGGUGCAUUUUGGAUUUUCCUUCCCUGGAGAGGUGGAGACAGAGCCCAGCUGUGCCCAGGGUUGGGAUCCCUCUCCUGACCCCAUCGGGGGCACAGGGAACCUUCCAGGCUGCAUUUUCCUCCCUCCAGGCUGCAUUUUCUCCCCUCCAGGCUGCAUUUUCCCCCCUCCAGCUGCCUCCAGCCCAUCCCAGGGCUGGCCUCAGCCAUUGUGGCCAUGGCAGAGCUCCAGGAUUCCCUGUCAGAGCCCCCUGGCCGGGGAUGAACCCACACAAUCCACGUUGUUGUCCCUGGAUUGUCCCUCCCUCCCAUCGAGGACCCUGCAGCCCCCCAGGCCCCUUCCCACCACGUGGAUUUUGGGGUGAAUUAUUCCUUUCCUCCCCCCCAUGUGGGUUUGGCUGCCCCUGAGCCCUCCCCCUGUGAGGAUUUGGGAAUUUUUUGGUGUUUUCCUUGUAUUUUUUUUGGCUGUUUUUCACUCAGUCAGGCUGGCAGCUGCCAUCCCCCUGCCUGCCCUGGGUCCCACCAUGGCAGCCCCCCCAAAAAUUGACUCCCAGGCCUGGGUACCCCCAAACCCCUCAUCCCUUUUGCUUUCCUGUUUUCCAGCCCAGGACAAAGGCACUGCCCUGCCUGGUGCCAACCCACAGGGCAGCCACAUCCCCAAAGGGAGAACACCCCAAUUUUUUGGGGGGAACACCCCAAUUUUGGGGGGAACACCCCAGAUUUGAGGGGUCUGUGCUUGCUGGCUCAGUUCAUGCCCAGCCAAGCCCCUCUGGAGCCGUGGGGUGCUCAAUGUGAUGGAUUUUGCCUCGUAUUUAAUAUGGGAAGGUUCCUCAAGUUUCGGGCUAUUUUCCAUCAGUUUUGGUGCUGGGUUUUGGAGAGGAAGAGGAGGAUGAUGAGGAGGAGGAGGAGAGCAUGGAUGGAGCAGUUUGGUGGUGCAAUUAAUUUUGGUUUUUUUUUUUUUAAAAACUCGAUAUUUUCAUCAUGGACGGGGAGGGAGGGGAAAUAAUAAAUAAACGGCACUUUACAUUUCCA